rnacentral:rRNA from 1 species
CUACGGGCGGCUGCAGUGGGGAAUAUUGCACAAUGGGCGCAAGCCUGAUGCAGCCAUGCCGCGUGUGUGAAGAAGGCCUUCGGGUUGUAAAGCACUUUCAGCGGGGAGGAAGGCGUUAAGGUUAAUAACCUUGGCGAUUGACGUUACCCGCAGAAGAAGCACCGGCUAACUCCGUGCCAGCAGCCGCGGUAAUACGGAGGGUGCAAGCGUUAAUCGGAAUUACUGGGCGUAAAGCGCACGCAGGCGGUCUGCCAAGUCGGAUGUGAAAUCCCCGGGCUCAACCUGGGAACUGCAUUCGAAACUGGCAGGCUAGAGUCUUGUAGAGGGGGGUAGAAUUCCAGGUGUAGCGGUGAAAUGCGUAGAGAUCUGGAGGAAUACCGGUGGCGAAGGCGGCCCCCUGGACAAAGACUGACGCUCAGGUGCGAAAGCGUGGGGAGCAAACAGGAUUAGAUACCCCGGUAGUC